rnacentral:rRNA from 1 species
GAUGAACGCUAGCGGCGUGCCUAAUACAUGCAAGUCGAGCGAACGGACGAGAAGCUUGCUUCUCUGAUGUUAGCGGCGGACGGGUGAGUAACACGUGGAUAACCUACCUAUAAGACUGGGAUAACUUCGGGAAACCGGAGCUAAUACCGGAUAAUAUUUUGAACCGCAUGGUUCAAAAGUGAAAGACGGUCUUGCUGUCACUUAUAGAUGGAUCCGCGCUGCAUUAGCUAGUUGGUAAGGUAACGGCUUACCAAGGCAACGAUGCAUAGCCGACCUGAGAGGGUGAUCGGCCACACUGGAACUGAGACACGGUCCAGACUCCUACGGGAGGCAGCAGUAGGGAAUCUUCCGCAAUGGGCGAAAGCCUGACGGAGCAACGCCGCGUGAGUGAUGAAGGUCUUCGGAUCGUAAAACUCUGUUAUUAGGGAAGAACAUAUGUGUAAGUAACUGUGCACAUCUUGACGGUACCUAAUCAGAAAGCCACGGCUAACUACGUGCCAGCAGCCGCGGUAAUACGUAGGUGGCAAGCGUUAUCCGGAAUUAUUGGGCGUAAAGCGCGCGUAGGCGGUUUUUUAAGUCUGAUGUGAAAGCCCACGGCUCAACCGUGGAGGGUCAUUGGAAACUGGAAAACUUGAGUGCAGAAGAGGAAAGUGGAAUUCCAUGUGUAGCGGUGAAAUGCGCAGAGAUAUGGAGGAACACCAGUGGCGAAGGCGACUUUCUGGUCUGUAACUGACGCUGAUGUGCGAAAGCGUGGGGACCAAACAGGAUUAGAUACCCUGGUAGUCCACGCCGUAAACGAUGAGUGCUAAGUGUUAGGGGGUUUCCGCCCCUUAGUGCUGCAGCUAACGCAUUAAGCACUCCGCCUGGGGAGUACGACCGCAAGGUUGAAACUCAAAGGAAUUGACGGGGACCCGCACAAGCGGUGGAGCAUGUGGUUUAAUUCGAAGCAACGCGAAGAACCUUACCAAAUCUUGACAUCCUUUGACAACUCUAGAGAUAGAGCUUUCCCCUUCGGGGGACAAAGUGACAGGUGGUGCAUGGUUGUCGUCAGCUCGUGUCGUGAGAUGUUGGGUUAAGUCCCGCAACGAGCGCAACCCUUAAGCUUAGUUGCCAUCAUUAAGUUGGGCACUCUAAGUUGACUGCCGGUGACAAACCGGAGGAAGGUGGGGAUGACGUCAAAUCAUCAUGCCCCUUAUGAUUUGGGCUACACACGUGCUACAAUGGACAAUACAAAGGGCAGCGAAACCGUGAGGUCAAGCAAAUCCCAUAAAGUUGUUCUCAGUUCGGAUUGUAGUCUGCAACUCGACUACAUGAAGCUGGAAUCGCUAGUAAUCGUAGAUCAGCAUGCUACGGUGAAUACGUUCCCGGGUCU